UAACCUGCCCAUAAGACUGGGAUAACUCCGGGAAACCGGGGCUAAUACCGCAUAACAUUUUGAACCGCAUGGUUCGAAAUUGAAAGGCGGCUUCGGCUGUCACUUAUGGAUGGACCCGCGUCGCAUUAGCUAGUUGGUGAGGUAACGGCUCACCAAGGCAACGAUGCGUAGCCAACCUGAGAGGGUGAUCGGCCACACUGGGGACUGAGACACGGCCCAGACUCCUACGGGAGGCAGCAGUAGGGAAUCUUCCGCAAUGGACGAAAGUCUGACGGAGCAACGCCGCGUGAGUGUGAAGCUUUCGGGUCGUAAACUCUGUUGUUAGGGAGAACAAGUGCUAGUUGAUUAAGCUGGCACCUUGACGGUACCUAACCAGAAAGCGGCGGCUAACUACGUGCCAGCAGCCGCGGUAAUACGUAGGUGGCAAGCGUUAUCCGGAAUUAUUGGGCGUAAAGGCGCGCGCAGGUGGUUUCUUAAGUCUGAUGUGAAAGCCCACGGCUCAACCCGUGGAGGGGUCAUUGGAAACUGGGAGACUU
rnacentral:rRNA from 1 species